GCCCCUAUAGCUCAGUGGUAGAGGUAAGAAGCAGUCCGAAAUUGAUUGUGAAAAUGACGCUAACAUCCUCGAAGCGCGUCACUCGUAACUGUUUAAGGGAUGACGAGGUCCAUCGUUCAAUCCGGUGUGGGGGCA